GGUCAUGUGGCCUAGUGGUCAUUGCAUCUGCCCGGUAAGCGGAAGGUCGUGGGUUCGAUUCCCAUCCCUUGACACU
rnacentral:tRNA from 1 species